rnacentral:rRNA from 1 species
AACGAACGCUGGCGGCAGGCUUAACACAUGCAAGUCGAGCGAGAAGCCUACCUUCGGGUAGGUGGAAAGCGGCAGACGGGUGAGUAACACGUGGGAACCUACCUAGUGGUACGGAAUAACUCGGGGAAACUCGGGCUAAUACCGUAUACGCCCUUCGGGGGAAAGAUUUAUCGCCAUUAGAUGGGCCCGCGCCGGAUUAGCUUGUUGGUGAGGUAAAAGCUCACCAAGGCUACGAUCCGUAGCUGGUCUGAGAGGAUGAUCAGCCACACUGGGACUGAGACACGGCCCAGACUCCUACGGGAGGCAGCAGUGGGGAAUAUUGGACAAUGGGCGCAAGCCUGAUCCAGCCAUGCCGCGUGAGUGAAGAAGGCCCUAGGGUUGUAAAACUCUUUCAGUGGGGAAGAUAAUGACGGUACCCACAGAAGAAG